UACAGAGGGUACAAACGUUGUUCGGAAUCACUGGGCUUAAAGCGCACGUAGGUGGUUCGGUAAGUGCGAUGUGAAAGCCCCCGGCCCAACCGGGGAACUGCAUCGCAGACUGCCGAGCUUGAGAGCGGUAGGGGAGACUAGAACUCCUGGUGGAGCGGUGAAAUGCGUAGAUAUCAGGAGGAAUACCGGUGGCGAAGGCGAGUCUCUGGUCCGCUUCUGACACUUAGGUGCGAAAGCUAGGGGAGCAAACGGG
rnacentral:rRNA from 1 species